UGACCAUCUGAAAAAGAACAAUGAAGACAUUUUACAAUUUCAAAGUAAUCUCUCAUUAAAAAAAAAAAAGAAUCGCCAAAGUAACCUCUUAGAAAAAACAUUGAUAAGCAUCACAAUCACCAUAGUUCCUUGAACCCAGGAGCAAAUCUUAGAUGCAUAAAAAGAUACCCAGAUGCAUAUGGGCCUGCCUUCUUGCUUGAAAGCAUAAAUCUCUCUAUAGCUGAUUUAUAGCUGAUUUUCUCUACCUACCUACUUGCAUAACUGUUCUACCUAUGUGUCUUAACUGAACACUUUCACAAAAGCAAAGGACCGAGGAAUGAGAGCUGGUGUCAGAGGACUUGGCUUCUAGGUAACACUAUGUGCUGUGUACAGAAUUUAAAUCCUUUACAUACAUUAAUCUUCUGUUUGUUUGUUUGUUUGUUUGUUUGUUUGUUUUGAGAUCGGGUCUCACUAUGCAGUUCAGGCUGGCCUCGAACUCACUGUGUGCCCAGGCUGGUCUCUAACUCAAGGGGAUCUUCCUGCCUCAGCCUCCUCCUGAGUUCUGGAAUUGGUGCAUUAAUCUUGGAACAGUCCUACAGGUACCAGGAACACAACAAUGAAGGAAACAAAGCCCUCACCAGCCCUGAUAGUUCCUAGGAUGAUGGAGGAGUGGCAGUCAAAGACUUCUACCAAUUGAUGGAAAAUUCCAACCACGGCAAAUGCCUUAAGAAGAGGAGUGGGAACGGAGCGCAGUGCUGAGGUCCCUCAGCGAAAAAAAUGACUGCCUGAGGACACCCAAAAGUUCUGUGGGGGGACCGAAGCCCGCCCCGGAGGAAGGCAGCCGCCGAGCCCGCCCGCCCGCGCGCGCGCGCGCGGCCCGAGGGAACUUUCGCCAGAGGCUGGACCUGCCAGAAGUGGCCGAAGAUGAACCCCCAACAAUACCUCAUGGCCGCAAUAGGGACCGACGCGGAGCCGAGCGACCCGCUGGACUGCAGUGCGAUGUUUCCCCACCUGUUAAUAGUGGGAAAAGCAGACCUACGACACGGGAAGCAGUCGGUUCAGGGGAUCAGAACGUAGAAGGUGAUGAAACACUUUCCACCUUCCUUUAUGAAGCCAGAAUUAACCUGAUUAUGUAAACCAGACAAACAGUAAACAAUAAAGGAAGGACAAAGGAAAAGAAAACUAUGGACCAAUUUACCUCAUGAACAUAUUGCAUAAAUCCUAAAAAAAAAAAAGCAAAUUAAAUUCCACUGUUCAUAAAAGGAAAAAUCAUAAUCAAAACAAACUACAGCUAACAUCAUACUUAAUGAAGGAAUGAAAGUUUUCUUCCAUGAACAAGAACAAAGCAAGAAUGUCUACUCUUAACCUCUCUCCAGUUCAGUAUUUUACUAGAAAAUCCUGGUCAGCAUUAAUAUGGCAACAAAAGGAAAUAAAAGAGGAGAAGAUUGGGAAAGAAGAAAUAAAACUGUUUCCAUUGACAGACAACAUGAUUGUCCCAAAGAAUCUUCAAAAACCUAGAGUUUAGCAAGGUCACAGGAUAUAAGAUACGCACACACACCCCCAUCCCCAUCCCAGCCUUAAUUCUCUAUACAUGUGGCCUCCCAUUUCUUCUGGUUCAUUGUCUGCAGAUUCAACCAACCAUGGAUUAAAAGUAUGUGAAAGAAAUUGUGACUGAACUAAGCAUGUGCCUGAACUAAGCGCUUUGUGGUCAUAUUCCCUAGGGAAUAUAAUAUAACCAUUAUUUAUAUAGCUUUUAUAUUGUCUUAGGUAUUAUAACUAAUAUGGAGAUGAUUUAAAAUAUACAAGAGGAUGUGUAUAGGUUGUAUACAAAUACUGUGCCAUUUUCAAAGGAACUUGAGUAUCUGUGGAUUUUGAUAUUUGUGGAGUUUCCUGGAACCACUCUCUUGUGGAUGCUGAAAAACCACUGUCUAGCAAUGUACAAUAGGAACAUUCAUGGAAUAAUAAGUACUACUUACAGUAGUUCCAAAGGAACAGAUACUUAGGUAUAAAUAUAAUAUACAUGUACACUUGAUCUGUAUGCUGAAAUCUAAAUAGUACUGAAGGAAAUCAAAACAGACCUAAAUGUAGACGUAUACUAUGUUCAUAUAAAAACUGUCAGUCCUUCCCAAUUUGAUUUAUAGAUUUAAUACAGUUCCAAUAAAAACUCUAGCAGUAUAUGGGCACAGGGAAUGUGACAUCAAAAUUUAGAUGGAAACGUAAAGAAAUUAGAAUAUUUAAAAAUUUUGGAAAAGAAGAAUAAAAAAGGAUUAUACUUUGUGAUUUUGAUAUAGUGUAACUUACAGGAAGUACUGCACUGUGAAGGGAUACAGAAGUAUUCUCCCCUGCCCUCCCCUCUUUUGACUCCUUUCUGUAUUUGGGGGCAUAGGACUGAGUACUAAACAACAAAACAUGGUUGUCAAUCAAGCAUGUCAUUUCUAGAGAAUCAUAUGUAGAUGUAUUCUCAUCCAGAAAAGAAAAUAAAAAUGAU